UUGGGAAUCUUGGACAAUGGGGGAAACCCUGAUCCAGCCAUGCCGCGUGAGUGAUGAAGGCCUUCGGGUUGUAAAACUCUUUCGACGGGGACGAUAAUGACGGUACCCGUAGAAGAAGCUCCGGCUAACUUCGUGCCAGCAGCCGCGGUAAUACGAAGGGGGCUAGCGUUGUUCGGAAUUACUGGGCGUAAAGCGCGCGCAGGCGGUCUUCCAAGUCAGUGGUGAAAGCCCGGAGCUCAACUCCGGAACUGCCAUUGAAACUGUAAGACUUGAGGAUGAGAGAGGUGAGUGGAAUUCCCAGUGUAGAGGUGAAAUUCGUAGAUAUUGGGAAGAACACCGGUGGCGAAGGCGGCUCACUGGCUCAUAUCUGACGCUCAGGCGCGACAGCGUGGGGAUCAAACAGGAUUAGAUACCCCGUAGUCC
rnacentral:rRNA from 1 species